rnacentral:rRNA from 1 species
UACGGAGGGAGCAAGCGUUACUCGGAAUUAUUGGGCGUAAAGGGCGCGUAGGCGAUUUGAAAAGUCUUGUGUGAAAGCCCCGAGCUUAACUCGGGAAGUGCACAAGAAACUGUUGAAUUUGAGUUCCGGAGAGGAGGGCAGAAUUCCCGGUGUAGCGGUGAAAUGCGUAGAUAUCGGGAGGAAUACCAGUGGCGAAGGCGGCCUUCUGGACGGAUACUGACGCUGAGGCGCGAAAGCCAGGGGGAGCAAACGGG